GUCUCUCACAGUUAAAGUGCACCUAUGAUGGGAAUUACAGAGCUCUCUCAUCUUUUUAAGUGGGUCAACUUGCACAAUCGGUGGCUGUCCAAAUACUUUUUUGCCCCACUGUAUGUAUUUCAAAUGAUGUAAUCUGUGGGCCUGAGGAGAGAUCCUUGCUUCUCUGCUAUGGAGAGAGGGAGGAGCAAGGGAGCUGCCAAACAAGAAGUGCAGAGCAAGAGCUGACAAUAUACUGCAAUCAGUACGCCAGACCAGCGCUCCAGACAGGCCACUGCCAACUGAUGUGGGUGCUGGGAUUGCAGGUUCUUAUUCUGCAAGCCGCCCUCUAAGGCGCCCAUCACAGGUCUAUGUAAACUUACCCAGGAGGCCAAGUAAGACGCGCCGUGUGGAUUUGGAAUCAGCGGAUCCAUCUUCCCCACCCAGGCGGCGCAUCUCUGCAGUCUUGUCCCAGCCACCACAGGCACUAUUGUGUAGUCCCCAAAGUGAUGAGCCCCGAUCACCUCAGUUAUCUGAACCAACCUUCACGUCCGACGUUGACCAGCAGGAACCAGAACAACAAGCCACCUAUACACUGCACCUAACACCCGUUGUUCCGACCC